UGAUGUGUCUUUCUCAGAGUCUUACAUC
rnacentral:piRNA from 1 species